UGCAGUCGAGCGGACGGAUGGGAGCUUGCUCCCUGAAGUCAGCGGCGGACGGGUGAGUAACACGUGGGCAACCUGCCUGUAAGACUGGGAUAACUCCGGGAAACCGGGGCUAAUACCGGAUAACUCUUUUCCUCACAUGAGGAAAAGCUGAAAGAUGGUUUCGGCUAUCACUUACAGAUGGGCCCGCGGCGCAUUAGCUAGUUGGUGAGGUAACGGCUCACCAAGGCCACGAUGCGUAGCCGACCUGAGAGGGUGAUCGGCCACACUGGGACUGAGACACGGCCCAGACUCCUACGGGAGGCAGCAGUAGGGAAUCUUCCGCAAUGGACGAAAGUCUGACGGAGCAACGCCGCGUGAGUGAUGAAGGUUUUCGGAUCGUAAAACUCUGUUGUCAGGGAAGAACAAGUACCGGAGUAACUGCCGGUACCUUGACGGUACCUGACCAGAAAGCCACGGCUAACUACGUGCCAGCAGCCGCGGUAAUACGUAGGUGGCAAGCGUUGUCCGGAAUUAUUGGGCGUAAAGCGCGCGCAGGCGGUUCCUUAAGUCUGAUGUGAAAGCCCCCGGCUCAACCGGGGAGGGUCAUUGGAAACUGGGGAACUUGAGUGCAGAAGAGAAGAGUGGAAUUCCACGUGUAGCGGUGAAAUGCGUAGAGAUGUGGAGGAACACCAGUGGCGAAGGCGACUCUUUGGUCUGUAACUGACGCUGAGGCGCGAAA
rnacentral:rRNA from 2 species